rnacentral:rRNA from 1 species
CCCUUAGAUGUUCUGGGCCGCACGCGCGCUACACUGAUUCAUGCAACAAGUUUUGUCCUUGGCUGAUAGGCCUGGGUAAUCUUUGAACGUGAAUCGUGAUGGGGAUAGAUGAUUGCAAUUAUUCAUCUUCAACGAGGAAUUCCUAGUAAACGCAAGUCAUCAGCUUGCAUUGAUUACGUCCCUACCCUUUGUACACACCGCCCGUCGCACCUACCGAUUGAAUGGUCCGGUGAAAUCUUCGGAUCUGAGAGAUGUCUGAUUAAUUUCGGACGCCUUUUGGAAAAGUUGCUUAAACCUUACCAUUUAGAGGAAGGUGAANUCGUANCA